AUUGAACGCUGGCGGCAGGCUUAACACAUGCAAGUCGAGCGGAGUGAUGGUGCUUGCACUAUCACUUAGCGGCGGACGGGUGAGUAAUGCUUAGGAAUCUGCCAUUUAGUGGGGGACAACAUUCCGAAAGGAAUGCUAAUACCGCAUACGUCCUACGGGAGAAAGCAGGGGACCUUCGGACCUUGCGCUAAAUGAUGAGCCUAAGUCGGAUUAGCUAGUUGGUGGGGUAAAGGCCUACCAAGGCGACGAUCUGUAGCGGGUCUGAGAGGAUGAUCCGCCACACUGGGACUGAGACACGGCCCAGCCUCCUGCGGGAGGCAGCAGUGGGGAAUAUUGGACAAUGGGCGGAAGCCUGAUCCAGCCAUGCCGCGUGUGUGAAGAAGGCCUUUUGGUUGUAAAGCACUUUAAGCGAGGAGGAGGCUACUAGUACUAAUACUACUGGAUAGCGGACGUUACUCGCAGAAUAAGCACCGGCUAACUCUGUGCCAGCCGCCGCCGUAACAC
rnacentral:rRNA from 1 species